GACGAACGCUGGCGGCGUGCCUAAUACAUGCAAGUUGAGCGAUGAAGAUUGGUGCUUGCACCAAUUUGAAGAGCAGCGAACGGGUGAGUAACGCGUGGGGAAUCUGCCUUUGAGCGGGGGACAACAUUUGGAAACGAAUGCUAAUACCGCAUAACAACUUUAAACAUAAGUUUUAAGUUUGAAAGAUGCAAUUGCAUCACUCAAAGAUGAUCCCGCGUUGUAUUAGCUAGUUGGUGAGGUAAAGGCUCACCAAGGCGAUGAUACAUAGCCGACCUGAGAGGGUGAUCGGCGACAUUGGGACUGAGACACGGCCCAAACUCCUACGGGAGGCAGCAGUAGGGAAUCUUCGGCAAUGGACGAAAGUCUGACCGAGCAACGCCGCGUGAGUGAAGAAGGUUUUCGGAUCGUAAAACUCUGUUGGUAGAGAAGAACGUUGGUGAGAGUGGAAAGCUCAUCAAGUGACGGUAACUACCCAGAAAGGGACGGCUAACUACGUG
rnacentral:rRNA from 1 species